rnacentral:rRNA from 1 species
CCUACGGGUGGCAGCAGUGAGGAAUCUUGGUCAAUGGGCGGGAGCCUGAACCAGCCAAGUCGCGUGAAGGAAGAAGGUACUUAGUAUUGUAAACUUCUUUUGUCGGGGAACAAAGGCGGAGACGCGUCUCCGGAUGAGUGUACCCGAAGAAAAAGCAUCGGCUAACUCCGUGCCAGCAGCCGCGGUAAUACGGAGGAUGCGAGCGUUAUCCGGAUUUAUUGGGUUUAAAGGGUGCGCAGGCGGGUGGUUAAGUCAGCGGUAAAAUUGGGGGGCUCAACCCCUUCCGGCCGUUGAUACUGGCUGUCGAGAGUGGGAGAGAAGGAUGCGGAAUGCGUGGUGUAGCGGUGAAAUGCAUAGAUAUCACGCAGAACUCCGAUUGCGAAGGCAGCAUGCCGGCUCCCUACUGACGCUGAGGCACGAAAGCGUGGGGAUCGAACAGGAUUAGAUACCCGUGUAGUC